rnacentral:tRNA from 1 species
GCCUCGUUGGCGCAGUAGGCAGCGCGUUAGUCUCAUAAUCUGAAGUUCGUGAGUUCGAGCCUCACACGGAGCA